rnacentral:misc_RNA from 1 species
GUACAGAGACCUCAGUUUAUCGUACUUUACGAACCCCGAAGAGAUUCUAUGCGGAAUGACUUGCCAAAUAUCUGAAGAAAACAUUUCCCAGGGUUUCAUAAGGUCUUCGGACCAUCCUACGAAAAUGUCAUCCACGAUGCGACUAACAGGAGCAGCAGAGCAUGCAGAGUACGUGAUUUUUAGCUGAAUCUGUUUCUUGGCGACAGGCUGAACAACAAUCAGUCCAAUGUUUUCUUAUUGACAGCCCAUGUGAAAAGCCAACACACAAAAUCAUUCAACGGUGCAUCGUAGUGCCCAUGUGCAAGAUCUGAGUCUGGUACAGAUGGGGCACUGGAGCUUCCUUGUCUAUCUCUAUUAACCGUGGUCUGCAUGUGAUCGGCGCGAGACACGCGUGCGCGCUCUGCGCAAGUCAUCAACCAUCCAGCACGCCUGUGGUGGUUUAGCCACCUGCUGAAAUCACCUAGAGCAAUUCAGUUCAGAUUUCUGUACUCCCAUAGACUAUGCAGACUUUGGUUGAAACUUGCGAGUCGACCAGCUACUGACCGUCCUCCAGAGCUUCGCUGCACGACGUUUCUAAAGUUGACUACAAUUUGUGAAGAACCUGUACAGGGCAAGAUGAAUUAUCUUCACUGGUUAGACUAUGUCGUCAUGGCCGCUCUGAUGGUUGUUUCCCUUGGCAUCGGGAUUUUCUUUGCUGUGUACAAGGGCGGCCAGAGAACAAAGGAGGAGUAUCUCCUAGGUAACCGUCAGAUGUCGAUGAUCCCAGUUUGUUUGUCAAUGUUCAUCACCUACCAGUCGGCCAUUGCCCUGCUUGGUGGACCUGCUGAUGUGUUUAACACUGGAACGAUGUACCUGUUCCUAGGGGGUGGUGUAGCCUUAUCUUACAUCGUGGGCCUGUUCACGGCGGUACCUCUCCUCUACCCACUAAAAAUCACCAGUGUUAAUGAGUACCUGCAGCUGAGGUUCGAUUCCAAGUUUGUCCGCCUGUUCGCCACCAGCGUCUGCAUUUUCCGGACGGUUCUUUAUAUGGCAAUGGCUCUCUUCUCGCCAGCUAUAGCCCUACAAACAGCUACUGGAUUGCCUCUGUGGGUGUCGAUUGCUAUUCUGGGAGGUAUCUGCACUUUGUAUACAGCAGUGGGAGGCAUUAAGAGCGUGGUCUGGACAGAUGUCUUCCAAACGGGCGUUUACGUCAUCGGCGUCGGCACUGUUAUCGUUAUGUGUACACUCCAUGUGGGCAGUUUGACGCAGGCCUUUCGCCUUGCCUCGGAAGGAGGAAGAAUAGAGUUCAACCAGAUUAACCCGGAUGUUCGCGAGCGUCACUCACUGUGGGCCACUCUUAUUGGUGGAUGCUUCACGCUGUUUUCGGGUUUCACACAGUCGAUUGCUCAACGCAUCAGUUCCUUGAAGACACUUAAAAAAGCCAAACUAGCCUUCCUUCUGAGCGCUCCUAUCAACCUGUUGAAUGAAUGCAUAUUGACUCUCAUGGGGGUCCUGCUCUACGCCUAUGUCGUCACAAUCGGGUGUGAUCCCUAUCAGGCGGGUAUCAUCGAUAACAGAAACCAGAUGAUACCAUACUUCGUCCCCAGUCUGCUGGGUAGUUUGCCUGGUAUGCCUGGUCUAUAUAUGUCUAUGCUGUUUAGUGGUGCACUCAGCACUCUGUCUUCCGGUAUCAACGCCAUGGGUGCCAAUACUGUGGAGGACCUCCUGGCACGUCCUCUGAGAGGCUACAAGGACGCCACUGUCACUGUCAUUGCUAAGAUAUCUGUGCUGCUGUUUGGAGGUCUCACUAUUGGUCUUGCAUACCUCGCUCGCUCCCUACGUGGUCCAGUCACACAGAUAACCAUUACGGUUGAUGGAGUCAGCAGCGGUACGAUCAACGGCAUCUUCUUUAUGGCAGGACUGGUUCCCUGGGCAAAUAAAUAUGGCGCCAUCGGAGGUGGACUCAUUGGCAUCGCUGUCAGCCUGUGGAUAACUGUUGGCUCCUUGCUGUACGGCGCCCCUACACCUGCCUUACCCCUGGGCCGACACACAACUGCCCAGCAAAUAACAGUUACUCGUCCUCCUUUCAUAACCUCACGACUGUAGAUAUCUCCAUGACAGAUGAGAUGUCUACAGACACGAAUCCUAACAGCAACAUUACGAACUUAUUUCAGACACAACGGGCCAACACAUUCUCCAUUUAUGACAUUUCUUACCUGUGGAUCUCACCCAUCGGGUUCUUCGUAACCUUAAUCACUGGAGUCAUUAUCAGCUUUAUCACAG